GACUGUUGCAGGAUCCUGCAGCACACCUCCUCGGCAAACUACAACUACCAUGAUUGGCUCCAGUCCUAUUGGGCUGAUUCCGCAUGCUUUGUGUACUCUGGCCAGCGUGGUGGAGCCGGUUGUCGACUUGUUUUGCAAUUUCGUCCUCAAGAUCGAGGACGGUCACGGAAAGCACGCCUUCAUCAAGCUCAGGUUCGAUUAGAGGAAUGUGGCCUUCGACUUCAACUUGCUCUCCAAUCACGAGAAGUACAUCUGCCCCGAGCACGUGAAGGAAUCUGGAGACUCCGCUGUUUCAUCCACUGGCAGUAAUGACGUUGACUGUGCCUCUACCGCCUUUACCUCCUUCAUUCACAACGGAACCAGCCUUCGCAAUGCCGUGGAACAAAUUCUGCUCGACGACAAGCAUCCCAAACCCAAUAACGGUGCUCCUACCUUCGGCUCCUAUUGUUAUGCUUAAGCUUUCAAGGGAGUUGCUCCUUAAUCAGAGGAAUGUUCAUAUUGCAUCCUGGACCUUGAUAAUGUGCCCAUGCCAGUAUUUCCACCCAAUGAAGUGGUUGUUGGUGUUAUUAUAAUGGAGGAUGCCAUCGAAGAGCUUCUUCAGGUCAACAAAGGAAGAUCAACAAGUGUUAAUUCGCACAACUGCUAAGGUUCAUUAGCAAUUUAAAUUCUGAUAUUCUAGCUGCUAAUGUACUAAUUAUUGGAGGCAUUGACGCAGGAAUAAUUCAUGCUCCAGUUAAUUAAGCAUAAGAAUGUCGAGGGCAGAGUUAUUAUGUUUAUAUGCAGGAUACUACUAUAAUUUUAUUAAAUCUCAUGGGUGUGUGUCCCAAACAUUAUUCUACUAUAGAGUUUGUAAUUAACUUAGCUCCUUGACAAAUUGUCAAAUUGUGUCAACGAGGAACAUGUACA